rnacentral:rRNA from 1 species
AUUGAACGCUGGCGGCAUGCUUACACAUGCAAGUCGAACGGCAGCACAGGGAGCUUGCUCCCGGGUGGCGAGUGGCGCACGGGUGAGUAAUACAUCGGAACGUGUCCUGUUGUGGGGGAUAACUGCUCGAAAGGGUGGCUAAUACCGCAUGAGACCUGAGGGUGAAAGCGGGGGAUCGCAAGACCUCGCGCAAUUGGAGCGGCCGAUGCCCGAUUAGCUAGUUGGUGAGGUAAAGGCUCACCAAGGCGACGAUCGGUAGCUGGUCUGAGAGGACGACCAGCCACACUGGGACUGAGACACGGUCCAAACUCCUACGGGAGGCAGCAGUGAGGAAUAUUGGUCAAUGGACGAGAGUCUGAACCAGCCAAGUAGCGUGCAGGAUGACGGCCCUAUGGGUUGUAAACUGCUUUUAUAAGGGAAUAAAGUGAGUCUCGUGAGACUUUUUGCAUGUACCUUAUGAAUAAGGACCGGCUAAUUCCGUG